AGCUUUAAGGUCAUAUUUAAAGUAACGCCUGCCCAGUGCUAAAUGUAAAUGGCCGCAGUACCUUGACUGUGCUAAGGUAGCAUAAUCAGUUGGCUUUUAAAUGGAGUCGGGAAUGAAUGGACUUAUAGGGUGAAGCUGUCUCUGCUAUAUUUUAUUGAAUUUAAUUAUUAGGUGAAAAUCCCUAAACUUAGAAAAAAGACGAGAAGACCCUAGGAGUUUUAACUAAAAAUUAACUAUUUAAUUACUGUUUUUGUUGGGGCGACAUAGGAACAUAAUAACUUCCUUUUCUUAUAUGCCGACUUUGUAUGAAAAAAUAAACUACCCUAGGGAUAACAGCGUAAUUCUUUAUAGAGCUUGCGACCUCGAUGUUGGACUAGGAGUUUAACUGGCUAGCCGCCAGUUAAGAUUGUUCUGUUCGAACUUAACUUCC
rnacentral:rRNA from 1 species